rnacentral:rRNA from 1 species
CCUACGGGAGGCAGCAGUGGGGAAUCUUGCACAAUGGGGGAAACCCUGAUGCAGCGAUGCCGCGUGAGUGAAGAAGGCCCUUGGGUUGUAAAACUCUUUCGUCGGGGAAGAAAAUGACUGUACCCGAAUAAGAAGGUCCGGCUAACUUCGUGCCAGCAGCCGCGGUAAUACGAAGGGACCUAGCGUAGUUCGGAAUUACUGGGCUUAAAGAGCUCGUAGGUGGUUAAAAAAGUUGAUGGUGAAAUCCCAAGGCUCAACCUUGGAACUGCCAUCAAAACUUUUUAGCUAGAGUGUGAUAGAGGUAAGUGGAAUUUCUAGUGUAGAGGUGAAAUUCGUAGAUAUUAGAAAGAACACCAAAUGCGAAGGCAACUUACUGGGUCACUACUGACACUGAGGAACGAAAGCAUGGGUAGCGAAGAGGAUUAGAUACCCUCGUAGUCCAUGCCGUAAACGAUGUGUGCUAGACGUUGGAAAUAUAUUUUUCAGUGUCGCAGCGAAAGCAUUAAGCACACCGCCUGGGGAGUACGACCGCAAGGUUAAAACUC